ensembl:snRNA U5 U5 spliceosomal RNA
GUACUCUGGUUUCUCUUCAGAUCGUAUAAAUAUUUUGUCUUUUACUAAAGAUUUCCGUGGAGAGNAAUAUUUAUGAGUUUGUAACUAAUUUUAUGAGGUCCUGUUCUAACAGUAAA